CACUCCACUCCAACGAUCCUAUCUGUGCCAGACACUGGGAUGAGUGUUGACAAGACAGACCUAAAUGACACAAGGGUCUUUGGCAUCACAUGUGCUAGAAUCCAGGAAAGCAAGAUCUGACCCACAAGGUCCAUCCUGGCUGGACUGAGAGCUACGAGGCAGUGGAAAGAAUACUGCACUUGGGGUCAGACCAAGUGACCUAAUUUGAAGUCCCAGCUCUGGCUCGUGAUCUUGUGCAGACUCAUCUAACCCACACCUUCCCAUGCCACCCAGGCUGGGGUGAAGUGAGGAGCACAUGGGAUUAUGGCAGACUCAGCAGAUCCUUUCCUAGCCCAAAGCAGCUUUGAAGAGCCAUCGUGAGCCAAUGGGCGGAGCUAAUAGUCUCCUAUCCUCGACUUGCAGGGGGGGCACAAUGAAUCAGACAGAGACCUCACCCUUGCAGAGUUCGCAGUCCGGGAGGCAGGCAGACAAGACCACAGUUGCAAGGUG
rnacentral:lncRNA from 1 species